GCCUCGGCCGAGGGCCGCCCGGUUUUUAUCCAUCCGGUAAAGCGAAUCAUUAGAGGUCUUGGGGCAGAAAGGAUCUCAACCUCGUCUCAAGCUUUCUUUCAAUGGGUCAGAAGCCCGGCUCACGGGCGUGGAGCCGGGCGUGGAAUGCGAGUGCCUAGCGGGCCACUUUUGGUCAGCAGAACUGGCGCUGAGGGGUGAACCGAACACCUGCAGAAGGGGCCCGAACCGAAGCUCAUCAGACCCCAGAAAAGGUGUUGGUUGA
rnacentral:ncRNA from 1 species